rnacentral:lncRNA from 1 species
CCAAGCUCCUCAUAUGGCAUUCCAAUUUUCUCUCCAUUCAACCAUCAUUCGGAGAAACGGCGGAGGAUGGGGGAGCAGUUGGCGGCGGAAGGCUCUGUCUAUGUCAGAUUUUGACACUUUCCCGUAGGCAUUGCGGGCGUUUGGAGGGGGGAAGGGGAUUGGAGUUUGAGAUUUUUUUAUUUUUUUUCAUUAUUAUUAUUUUCCAACUGUCAUGUUUAGUUCAAAUGUCAUUUUUUUGUCCAAGUGUUAUUUUCAGUGACCUGUGUAUUAUUUAUGAUUGUCAUAGUGUUAUUUUCGAUAACUACGUCGGAGAAAAUUGAUGACCGAAUCGAGCACCCGCAUCGCGGGUCCUCGAUGGGGUACUCGAGGAGACCAUCGUCCUCG